ACGCACGCUGGCGGCGUGCUUCACCCAUGCAAGUCGCACGGAAAGGCCCUGCUUUUGUGGGGUGCUCGAGUGGCGAACGGGUGAGCAACACGUGAGUAACCUGCCCUUGACUUUGGGAUAACUUCAGGAAACUGGGGCUAAUACCGGAUAGGAGCUCCUGCUGCAUGGUGGGGGUUGGAAAGUUUCGGCGGUUGGGGAUGGACUCGCGGCUUAUCAGCUUGUUGGUGGGGUAGUGGCUUACCAAGGCUUUGACGGGUAGCCGGCCUGAGAGGGUGACCGGCCACAUUGGGACUGAGAUACGGCCCAGACUCCUACGGGAGGCAGCAGUGGGGAAUAUUGCACAAUGGGCGGAAGCCUGAUGCAGCAACGCCGCGUGCGGGAUGACGGCCUUCGGGUUGUAAACCGCUUUCGCCUGUGACGAAGCGUGAGUGACGGUAAUGGGUAAAGAAGCACCGGCUAACUACGUG
rnacentral:rRNA from 1 species